UACGUAGGGGCCAAGCGUUGUCCGGAUUUAUUGGGCGUAAAGAGCUCGUAGGCGGUUCGGCAAGUCAGCUGUGAAAUCUCCACGCUCAACGUGGAGGGGUCAGCUGAUACUGCUGUGACUUGAGUCCGGUAGGGGAGUGUGGAAUUCCCGGUGUAGCGGUGAAAUGCGCAGAUAUCGGGAGGAACACCGGUGGCGAAGGCGGUUCUCUGGGCAUGUCCUGACGCUGAGGAGCGAAAGCGUGGGGAGCGAACAGG
rnacentral:rRNA from 1 species